GAUGAAGAACGUAGCGAAAUGCGAUACGUAAUGUGAAUUGCAGAAUUCAGUGAAUCAUCGAAUCUUUGAACGCACAUUGCGCCCCCUGGUAUUCCGGGGGGCAUGCCUGUUCGAGCGUCAUUUCAACCCUCAAGCUCUGCUUGGUAUUGAGUCCAUGUCAGCAAUGGCAGGCUCCAAAAUCAGUGGCGGCGCCGCUGGGUCCUGAACGUAGUAAUAUCUCUCGUUACAGGUGCUCGGCGUGCUUCUGCCAAAACCCCAAUUUUUCUAUGGGUGACCUCGGAUCAGGUAGGGAUACCCGCUGAACUUAAGCAUAUCAAUAAGCGGAGGA
rnacentral:misc_RNA from 1 species